rnacentral:lncRNA from 1 species
UUUGUGCAGAACAGAUAAUUCAACAAUUAGCUGAAAAAAAAAUAAUAUUGUUUGGCAAUCUGGAGAGAAUUAUUCAAGAUGUGGAGCAAGAACAGAACUCUGAUUUAGAAAAAGGGUUGAUGAAAAGAUCUGAUGAGAGAGAAAUACAUGAGCUGCUAGUGUUUUCAGCACUAGAAUCAAAAUGUUAUGAACUGGAAGAAAUGGGGAUUCUUUCAUAUAAUCAGCUGGAUGUUAUCAAAAGGAAAGUGAACGAUUUAAAAGAAAAAAGAAAGAGUUCAUUUUAUGGACAUCAUUUACUUUAUCCCAAAGAAUAUCCAGUAGAAAAUAUGCUUGAGAGGCAAAAAGAAGCAUUAAAAGAAUUCCUCCAACAAAGAAAGUAUUUGUUUUCAUAUCUGCGAUCAAGUAUUGAAAAUCUGCAACAAAAAAGCAUUGCUUGGCAAGAAAUUUCUGAUAAGAACAUAGCAAAACAAAAAUAUUUGGCUGCAAAACUAGAAGCAAAUAUGAGAGAUAUACAAGCUGCUUAUGAAAAAACACAGAAAAUAGAAAAGUCCAGAG